GCGACUCCAGCUCCAGACCGCGAGAGGGCGCCUUGCUUCUCACCAGCGGCCGCCACCAGUCUGCGACGACUGGACCUGCCCCCACCGCGGCGCGAUUUCGCUGGAGUUCGGGUACUGAGCGCCUGUCCCCCCCAGAGCCAGUCAGCGAAGAGCCCCGCGCCACCACUCCAGGAUAGAGGAAAGAAUCACCAUUGCCAAGAAUGGAUUGAAGUUUCUGGUGGCAAGCCCAACAAGUAGGUAAGUUUUCCCCCUUUGUAAUAGACUGAGAAAUGCAGGUAAGAAUGUUUCUUUCCAACAAAAAGAGAGAGAGAAUAAGGUAAGAAGUAACAGUGGGGAAAGGUAUACAGGCCUGAUCCUGAGGUCUUAGGAAAGCUGUUUCUUUCAGCUAUCUUCUGUUUCAAUUCUUGGUGAAUCUGACUCUGAAGUCUCCAGUGCUUGCAUAGGGCUAGAUGCCAGGUGGAGCUUUCUUUAGCUAUAAGAUGUGUACCUAGGGCUUGAGUUUCUGAGGUUUUGCUGCUAUCUGGGUAAAGUGAGGAGGACCUGGUUUAGUCCCUUCCAAGGAAAUUUAAGGGCAGUCUUUGUUUUUAUUGAUUCCAAAUCAAAAGGGUUGGAGAAAAUUGGAAACAUUUAGUUCAGAAAUAUUUUUUUAGUCAGAUAUUUGAGGAAAUGAGAAGAGUUUUGUAUAUAGUCCACCUUAUAGGUAUAUAACAGAACCUUAAAGACAAGGAUGAGAACCUAAUAUCUGGAAGUUCCCACUGUGGCUCAGUGGAUUAAGAACCCCAUGCUGUCUCUCUGAGAAUGCAGGUUUGAUCCCUGGCCUCGCUUAGUGGGUUAAGGAUCCUUUGUUGCCGUGGCUGUGGUGUAGGCCUGCAGCCGCAGCUCUGAUUCAGCCCAUAGCCUGGGACCUUCAGUAUGCUGUAGGUAUGGCCAUAAAAAGAAAGAAAAAAAGAACCUAGUAUCUGCAAAGGUGCAAAAAUAAUUUCUCUCUCCAUAAUUAAAUCAAAGGCCAUUAUAGUAAAACUAAUUUGUAUUAAAAUGGUCUGAUUAUUUACAUAAAUGCAGCAAGAAUAAUGAUUUACCACAUAAGCUCUUUUUAAGAUUACUUUGCUGGAACUUUAUAAGCAAGGUAGUAAGCUAAUUUUUCCAAGCACUUCCUUAAAUUUUUUUGGUCUUAUCUGAUUCUAUGUAUAUUUCUCUCUAAUACGACGUUUUGGUCAAAUCCUUGGUAUUGUAGCUAGUAUAUCUGAUUGUGUCCUGUUUUGAGGAGAGGAGAACAUAUUGUUAUUGAACUCAUGCAAAUGACUAUAUUGUCAUAAAAAUAAGAAUACCCACUUACUUAGUCUCACUCAGAAUUUGAAGAGUUUUCAAAUUCUGGAGGGGUCAGACAGAGAGAAGAAAUAAAUGCUUCAUUAUGAUUUACA
rnacentral:lncRNA from 1 species